rnacentral:rRNA from 1 species
AAGUCGAACGGCAGCACGGGUGCUUGCACCUGGUGGCGAGUGGCGAACGGGUGAGUAAUAUAUCGGAACGUACCCUAGAGUGGGGGAUAACGCAGCGAAAGUUGCGCUAAUACCGCAUACGAUCUACGGAUGAAAGUGGGGGAUCGCAAGACCUCAUGCUCAUGGAGCGGCCGAUAUCUGAUUAGCUAGUUGGUGGGGUAAAAGCCUACCAAGGCAUCGAUCAGUAGCUGGUCUGAGAGGACGACCAGCCACACUGGAACUGAGACACGGUCCAGACUCCUACGGGAGGCAGCAGUGGGGAAUUUUGGACAAUGGGCGCAAGCCUGAUCCAGCAAUGCCGCGUGAGUGAAGAAGGCCUUCGGGUUGUAAAGCUCUUUUGUCAGGGAAGAAACGGUGAGGGCUAAUAUCCUUUGCUAAUGACGGUACCUGAAGAAUAAGCACCGGCUAACUACGUGCCAGCAGCCGCGGUAAUACGUAGGGUGCAAGCGUUAAUCGGAAUUACUGGGCGUAAAGCGUGCGCAGGCGGUUAUGUAAGUCAGAUGUGAAAUCCCCGGGCUCAACCUGGGAAUGGCAUUUGAGACUGCAUGGCUAGAGUGUGUCAGAGGGGGGUAGAAUUCCACGUGUAGCAGUGAAAUGCGUAGAGAUGUGGAGGAAUACCGAUGGCGAAGGCAGCCCCCUGGGAUAACACUGACGCUCAUGCACGAAAGCGUGGGGAGCAAACAGG